rnacentral:rRNA from 1 species
AGUGAACGCUGGCGGUAGGCCUAACACAUGCAAGUCGAACGGCAGCACAGUAAGAGCUUGCUCUUACGGGUGGCGAGUGGCGGACGGGUGAGGAAUACAUCGGAAUCUACUUUUUCGUGGGGGAUAACGUAGGGAAACUUACGCUAAUACCGCAUACGAACUACGGGUGAAAGCAGGGAAUCUUCGGACCUUGCGCGAUUGAAUGAGCCGAUGUCGGAUUAGCUAGUUGGCGGGGUAAAGGCCCACCAAGGCGACGAUCCGUAGCUGGUCUGAGAGGAUGAUCAGCCACACUGGGACUGAGACACGGCCCAGACUCCUACGGGAGGCAGCAGUGGGGAAUAUUGGACAAUGGGCGCAAGCCUGAUCCAGCCAUGCCGCGUGGGUGAAGAAGGCCUUCGGGUUGUAAAGCCCUGUUGUUGGGAAAGAAAAGCAGCUAGUUAAUACCCCGCUGUUCUGACGGUACCCAAAGAAUAAGCACCGGCUAACUUCGUG